UGCUCCGCCUCUUCCUCGACCUCUCACGCUCGCUCGCGACCCUCAGCCGUGGCUAGGGUUUCGGGCUGGGCAUCGCCUUCGUCGCCGGCGUGGCUCCAGCGGACCCCGGCGGCUCCUCUCCGUCUCCUCCCUCGCCCCCCACACAUUUGGUGCAGCAGCCGCUGUGGAUCAAGUUCUUGGUGGAGAUGCAACGGAUGCUCAAAGUGAUUCAUCAGGGAGGACCCCCGCCAGUAGAGGGAUGGCUCCUGUCCAAGGCCAUCCAUGGGUUAUGGCAGGAGACCAGGAGAAGAACAAGCAAUUUUAUCUAAAAAUAGAAGAGCUAGCACCAAAGAGCCCCAGCCCACCUCCAAGAUCAAAUUCUAUAUAAUUCAUGAAUAGUGGUUGUCGACACAUCUUCUAACAAAGUCACCUCUAAUGAUCCUUCUGUCGACAAGCAGCUAGACCCAAGUCUCCAGAAAAAGCAUGGCCGCCGGCACAAAAUGGACGAAGAAGAGGUGAGCUGCCGCGACAUUGAAGCUCUCGCACCGCUGCUCCCGUCGAGCUCGCGCGUGCAACGGAUCUGAUGGCGAACACAGCCCGUCUGUCCGCCGGCACCUCCAAGCAAGGCCUACAACAGCAGAACUGUUUGGGAGAUCAAGCAGAAAAUUGUUGGCUGUCGAUCGUGGCUGCUACAUGGAUCAAAGCCAGAGCCUUAAUAUCAACAUGGAUCUGUAUAACUUCAUUGCACUUCCACGCCUGGUCCAUGGUUUGCCUGUCAAUUUAGAUACUGUUUAGCACUCUGUGAUUUUACUGAAAAUUUAGCAGUCAGUGUUGAACAGGUCGUUACAUCCCCACGCUUGAACAAGUCACAUGACAAGGCGUUCAAUCAAAGCUCUCUCUAUAUGUGGUCUACUAUAAAAUAUAUUACUUUACCAUAGUAGAAUCAAAUAGAUUGGUUAUCCUGUGUUAUCAUUAUGCCCUGCUUUUAGUAUAUUGUAAAUCUUGCUUUGUACCGAAUCUUUAUGCAAAUCGAUUAUCCUGGGCUACCACUAUGCCAUUCUCUUGGAAUGUAAUGAAUCUUGGUGCAAAUCAGUUAUCCUGUCAAAUCUUGAUGCUUUUUUACUUAACCACUAUUAUUAUAAAUAUGCAUUCUGUUGAACCAGCUCCUUCUAUGGGAGACGCUUGACCAUUGCCUUACACAGGCACUACACGUUGCGCUUUCUGAUGUAAAUCACUUCCUGGACAGGCGACACGCAUCCUGAUGCAAAUCAGUUCCUGGACAACCAACUUGAGAUCAAUUAUCCGGACAUAUACCCGGAUUGCAUCUAUGUUCUAAAAUCUUAUCCAGACCUGAUCAAUAUGUGAAAAUUUAGUGAGGGGUGCCCCUGGUUACUCACGUCGCUCCAGGUUCACAUUGUAUUGACUUGCAGCGCCAGCCUGCCAUUUGGCCUGCAGCCCUGGUCGUUGCAAGUUAGCCUUACAUAGGUAUAAGGGUUUUAGUACUUCAUUAAUGUAACAAAGUGAAGAGAAAACUGCUGCAUCGAAUUACUAAUGGAGUCGUUUCGAUGAGAACUGAUAAAGAAUAUAUUUCAUGACUGAGACAUUGAUAUGAAAUUUGAGUAUUUAAUAGAGAAGUCCAGUUCAUAUAUGAAGAAAAAGAAAGGCAUUAUGUACUACAUUGACAGUGAUUGUUAGCCCAUUAUGGUACUUCAAAUCGGAUAAAGAAUAUAUUUCCUGACCGAGACAUGGGAUUUAGAGUCUCAGUUCUGAUAUGUACAUAAAUCUCCUUUUAUUUUGUCAUGCUACUGAUAGUUUUGAUAUGGGACUAUUUGUUUUGUUUAUGUCUUAUAAAUAAUGAAAUGGCAUAUAUGUUAAGUUCUCCUAUUUUAAUUAUAUUAUGUUGUCGAUGAUGUAUGGUUCUGGAAUUUGGAGAUUAACAUUCAGGCUUUGGUAUCUUGUAUGUUUUUGCGUUCUACUAAACUUGAUGCAAACAAUUUGUCCUAUCUGGCACUGGCUUUUUGGAACAAAUUUUGUCAUGUGCGUGCAAAUUAAUUAUCCUUUUGACUUAGUAUACUCAGAUUACCAUGUUUUUGGUAUAUCUCUACUAUUUGCGCUCUAUACUAAACUCCUUAGUACCGAAAGAAUGACGUGAUUGGAUGUACAAGAUAUAUACAUGCUGGGUCACGGUGCUCACGCGGGCAACGUGCGCCAAGGCGCGCUUCCGUUCUAGUCAUAUAUGAAACCAAAAGAAAGGCUUCUGCAGGUUACAGACCUCACCACUCUGUGUUUGUGACAGAGGACUUCAGUUCAAAUUGUCAGUCCUGAGGUGAACCCCGAAAGGCGUCAUGUUGUUGUCUAGGGGCUCUCCAAGAAGAACUAUAAAGGCAGGGACACCUCCAACUUUACUUCAAAUGACUCAAGCAAUCGGCACUAUGGUUCACAAGAAAGUGGCUUGACCAACACCCCAUGAAGCCACAACCAGGAACAGGGCACGUUUGAAGGAGCAAAAAGGCAAGUUUCUCUUCAUGAUUAUUCAUUUGUGCAUACAACCCCACUUGGCGUAUGCGCAUGAGGACUUAAUCGACUUAACUAUAUUUUCCAGUGCAAUGUUUUGUGCAAAUUAAGAUAGCAUCAUGAGAACAAACGUGACACCUACUGCUGAUUAGCAUCCUACAUGGCCGUUUUGGCACUGGAAAACACAAAACAAGCUAUGAUCAUGUAAGGGCUAUCUAAAACUUUGCUCCUCAUUAAACGAUCUUCUGUAAUUGUCGGUCAUUUAAGAGACCAGUCCAAAUGUCAGCUUAAAUAUACACCAAAACAUUAUAACAUGGCUUUAUCAUUCUGGAUGGAAAUCUGGAGUGUUUCCAUCCAAGUUACAUUGUUCUUGAAUGGUAAUACUUUGUCACCCUACUAGAGUUGUUAAUGUAAAUGGUGACAAGGUGAUCAUUGUCACC
rnacentral:rRNA from 1 species